AUUAAACGCUGGCGGCAUGCCUUACACAUGCAAGUCGAACGGCAGCACGGGGGCAACCCUGGUGGCGAGUGGCGAACGGGUGAGUAAAGCAUCGGAACGUGCCCUGGAGUGGGGGAUAACGUAGCGAAAGUUACGCUAAUACCGCAUAUUCUGUGAGCAGGAAAGCAGGGGAUCGCAAGACCUUGCGCUCUGGGAGCGGCUGAUGUCGGAUUAGCUAGUUGGUGGGGUAAAGGCCUACCAAGGCGACGAUCCGUAGCGGGUCUGAGAGGAUGAUCCGCCACACUGGGACUGAGACACGGCCCAGACUCCUACGGGAGGCAGCAGUGGGGAAUUUUGGGACAAUGGGCGAAAGCCUGAUCCAGCCAUGCCGCGUGAGUGAAGAAGGCCU
rnacentral:rRNA from 1 species